UGGCUCUCGCAUCGAUGAAGAACGCAGCGAAUUGCGAUAUGUUAAUGUGAAACGCAGAACAGUGAAUCAUCGAAACUUUGAACGCACCUUGCGCCCUCCGGUCUUCCGGAGAGCAUGCCUGUCUGAGUGUCGCUAAUCGAACAUAGGCCGAAAGGUCUGAUUCGGAUGUGUGCCGUGGUUUCGGCUCCGUCUUAGAUCCAAUUAGAACGCGGCUGCCUUGCCGACCUCUUGGGGACGUUUGAUCGUAACUCGCUUCAUCCGUCUUUCAACCUCGAGCGGUGUUGGGUGGCUCCCCUCCGCGGUGGUCCUCGUGGCCCUGUGGUGUUUGGAAAUUUGUCUAAUAGCGUGGCCUCAGAUCAGGUAGGACUACCCGCUGA
rnacentral:misc_RNA from 1 species